rnacentral:rRNA from 1 species
GAUUGAACGCUGGCGGCAGGCCUAACCCAUGCAAGUCGAGCGGAUGAAGGGAGCUUGCUCCUGGAUUCAGCGGCGGACGGGUGAGUAAUGCCUAGGAAUCUGCCUGGUAGUGGGGGAUAACGUCCGGAAACGGGCGCUAAUACCGCAUACGUCCUGAGGGAGAAAGUGGGGGAUCUUCGGACCUCACGCUAUCAGAUGGGCCUAGGUCGGAUUAGCUAGUUGGUGGGGUAAAGGCCUACCAAGGCGACGAUCCGUAACUGGUCUGAGAGGAUGAUCAGUCACACUGGAACUGAGACACGGUCCAGACUCCUACGGGAGGCAGCAGUGGGGAAUAUUGGACAAUGGGCGAAAGCCUGAUCCAGCCAUGCCGCGUGUGUGAAGAAGGUCUUCGGAUUGUAAAGCACUUUAAGUUGGGAGGAAGGGCAGUAAGUUAAUACCUUGCUGUUUUGACGUUACCAACAGAAUAAGCACCGGCUAACUUCGUG